GUCAAAAUAAAAAAAAUCACUUGUGUCUACGCCCCAUGGCCUGGAAGUUCGCGUGUGUGGUUUACAAUAUUAUUUUUAUUCAAACUAUUAAUAGACUUAUUACAUUUAUAUCAUCAGUAAGUUAGUGAGAGAGGUAUGCGUGCGAAGGUGACGCUUCAUCAGCGUGCGGGAAAUUCGGAAACAUGUGUUUUGAUGUUCAUAUAACUUGGUGAUUUGAUGACAGUCACAGUAAAUAGAUGUCAACAAAUUGAAAUUUUAGUUGAUUACAAUAAUUAAUGUAUCGUUUUGUGUUUGUAUAAGUCAAAGCAUCGUUAGGUGGAUCUUAGGAAGUGCAUAUGUCCGGGGUGAAUGAUAACCGCAGUGUAAUCAGACAACUUCCGUCAGCGAUGGAGAGCCGAUGAAUGCUAAUUGGCGCUUGUUAUUUAUCAAGUUCUAGGAUGGCGAACCCUACUAUUGGGGUUUCGUUCGAUCAAAAUGACAUGUCCAGUUGGUAUUUUGGUGGACUAUCGAGAGCUGAGGCAACCAAACUGUUGCUAAAUGAAACUGAGAGUGGUGUUUUUCUAGUACGUGACUCUAAAACAAUUCAUGGAGAUUAUGUUUUAUGUGUCAGGGAGGAUGAUAGAGUAUCUCAUUAUAUAAUAAACCGGGUGGUGUCUCCAGACGGCGGCACUCGUUUCCGCAUUGGUAACCAACUAUUUGCUGAUAUGCCUGCCUUAUUGGCGUUCUAUCGGCUUCAUUACCUGGACACAACUCCUUUAGUUCGGCCACUGCCACAAGCAAAUGCACAGGCAGCGGCACCGCCGCCCGCCCAGCCUCACCAUGUUCUGGAAGUCGUAAUCGCCAAGUUCGACUUUGAUGGUAGCGAUGCAGACGACUUACCGUUUCGUCGUGGCGAACGGCUGAUGGUGAUAAAUCGAGAUGAGGAGCAGUGGUGGACCGCCCGGAACGCUCAGGGACGCACAGGCUCUAUACCAGUACCCUAUGUACAGAGGUUGUUGGACCCAUCGGGAAUGCCAUAUCCAGCAAACGAGGCCCUUACUCAGCUGGGAGACCCCCCGAGUCCUCCAAACAAUAAACAGCAAAAAGGAUCAAAUAUGCAGCGCACUCUGCCGGCGUUAGCACGCGUACGACAAUCGCGGGUCCCUAACGCGUACGACAAAACUGCCCUUAAAUUACAGGAGGGUGAAAUACUUAAGGUGACAAAAAUGAACAUAAACGGCCAAUGGGAAGGCGAGCUGAACGGAAAAGUUGGUCACUUUCCGUUCACCUAUGUGGAGUUCCUUGAUGACAUAACUAGCUAAAUUCUGUACUAUGGUGACAGUGUUAGUGUAAGUGAAGUGGCUAGAAUCCAAUUGUUAUUAUGGAGCAAGGCUUUUUCUCAUUUGGACAAUUUUACAGCGAAUUGGGAUUGUACUCUCCCAGCCUACUUCACAUAAAUAAUGGGCCAGGCCUACCGAGUAGGGCUAUAUUUUAUAAAUUUUAAAUUUAUAAUAUGUGCGCACAUAUGAACGAACAUUAUUUACAUUAAAAAAAUCUAUUUAUAUUAAUAAAACAAGAAUUGGUUAAUUUUUUUUAAAAUUUUGGAUGUUAUUUUUCAUGUUACAUUGAAUAGGUUCUGAGAAAUUAAUGUAAAACUCAGAAUUGUAAUUACUGUAGUCUUUAUUAUUUUUCGGACAUGACAUUUAAGUAAUUAUAUACUGAGCUUCCAGACUGGAAUUGUUACAUCGAAAUCCAUGUAGUAUUUAUCUGUGUAAAUAGCAUAUGCAAUAAAACUGUAUCAGAAUACUAUUUCAAAAAUACUCUUCACAGUUUUCUUCAUACUGCCAUUUAUGAAUUAUACCAAGUAUGUGGCAUAUAUUUGCCAAUAAAUGAUUAAGUAAUGGGUAAUUUUUUUUUGUACAAAAGCCAAUCUUUUGUUAAACUAUGUAUUUUAAUAUACUAGUAGCCACUGUGAUGAAGUACCGAUUUAAUAACGUGACGAAAAAUAGUGUUCAUAAUAAAAACUAGACAACACAUCGCGACUUGAGCGACAUACAGAGAUGUGGUUAUUGUACUGAUUUAUUUGUAUUGUAUGAUUAAUAUAAGAUAAAACUGAAUGUUCUCAUUAAAUUCUCUCUCGAGGUCAUCAGCGCCAGUUCCUUUGUUACUAAUGUAACAGGCACUUAAAAUGUAAAAAAAUUGCAUAUUGAAUAUGAAUGCUCAUACGCUUCAGUCUAUAAGUAUGAAUGAAAACCAGAGAUAAACAUGUGUUAUUCUGCUUUGAUACAGCAUUUUUCUGUAAAAAGUUGCAAUGUUACAUAUUAUAUAGUGUAAUUGUAGAUUUAGUUUUAAGUUGUGUUGUAAGCGCAAAAUCAGUUUUCUAUUGCUUUUAUUUUUACUUUAAUUCUUAAUCUUACGACUUUGCGUCAUUACUAUAUCUAAACUCUUUACUACGCACAACAUUUAAAAAUUGUGCUUACAACACAACAAAUUAUUAUUAAUAAAUUCUUCCAAAAUAUGAUAGUCAAUAUUUUUAUAUUAAUUGCUGGUGCAAAUGUUUAAGUCGACUGCUUUGGUCAAGUUUAAUGAUUACAAUAUUUAUUAAGACUCAAAUUAUAUUAUAUAGUUAUUAGUGGUUGCCUGGAAGAGAUGGCUCGAAAGUGAUAAGGCGACUUUAUUAUGUUUUAUAUUUAUAAGUAAAAUAAAUAUAUGUAUUACUAAUACAUAUAUUUAUAUUUUAUAUAUAUUUAAAAAAUAAUCCCCAUAGUGUUGGCUUUCAAAUAGUUUUUUAUUUU